UACAGAGGUCCCGAGCGUUGUUCGGAUUCAUUGGGCGUAAAGGGUGCGUAGGCGGCGGGGCCAGUCUGAUGUGAAAUCCCGGGGCUCAACCCCGGAACUGCAUUGGAUACUGCCUUGCUAGAGUACUGGAGAGGGAACUGGAAUUUACGGUGUAGCAGUGAAAUGCGCAGAUAUCAGGAGGAACACCAAUGGCGAAGGCAGCUCGCUGGGACGUGACUGACGCUGAGACGCGAAAGCGUGGGGAGCAAACAGG
rnacentral:rRNA from 1 species